rnacentral:rRNA from 1 species
AGAAGGGGAUAACACUUGGAAACAGGUGCUAAUACCGUAUAACAAUCAAAACCGCAUGGUUUUGAUUUGAAAGGCGCUUUCGGGUGUCGCUGAUGGAUGGACCCGCGGUGCAUUAGCUAGUUGGUGAGGUAACGGCUCACCAAGGCCACGAUGCAUAGCCGACCUGAGAGGGUGAUCGGCCACAAUGGGACUGAGACACGACCCAAACUCCUACGGGAGGCAGCAGUAGGGAAUCUUCGGCAAUGGACGAAAGUCUGACCGAGCAACGCCGCGUGAGUGAAGAAGGUUUUCGGAUCGUAAAACUCUGUUGUUAGAGAAGAACAAGGAUGAGAGUAACUGUUCAUCCCUUGACGGUAUCUAACCAGAAAGCCACGGCUAACUACGUGCCAGCAGCCGCGGUAAUACGUAGGUGGCAAGCGUUGUCCGGAUUUAUUGGGCGUAAAGCGAGCGCAGGCGGUUUCUUAAGUCUGAUGUGAAAGCCCCCCGGCCUCCAACCGGGGAGGGUCAUUGGAAACUGGGAGACUUGAGUGCAGAAGAGGAGAGUGGAAUUCCAUGUGUAGCGGUGAAAUGCGUAGAUAUAUGGAG